ensembl:lncRNA
GGCUGUGUAGUUAGGCUUUAUGGUGGAGUCAACAAAGUAGGUCUCUGCACUCUGAGCUGGCUCUUGGGGGCUUUUUGGAAGGAAUCAACUUACGGAACCGCAAGUAACCAGUCUUCAGGUUUUAGCUUGUCUUGCACUUGCUUGCCUCUGCUGCUCUAAUGGCCUUGUUUGAUCUUCUGACGAACACCUUCUGGAGUGCGGGGCUGUGUGCCUUCUCAGAGAGAGCCCACCAUGAGGAACUUCUAAAUUACUCCUUUUCUCCCGAAGUGUAUUCUCAAAGACAGGGCUGUGCUCUUCCAAGCCCAACUUGUGACGAUGGUGCAGAGACCCAGGAGGCCAUGUAAAAAAGAGAACGUGCUCUCAGAGCCUCGUCUUGGGAGCCUUGCCUUCAGUGCAGGCUCUUCAGCAUUCUCUGACCUCAAGCUGAGCAGGACGCUGCCCUUGGCAUCUGUUUGUCAAAUGUGUAUUCUCCGUGUUGUACAUGAAAUGAUUAUUUCCAUAGUUGGUUAAGGCAAGUUUCCGAGGAAUGUGAAGCAAGAGGCACGCCAGUUCCUGUGGCUGGCCUUGACUGGAGUGCAGGCAUUUUGGGACAGGGGCUGUGCCUGGAGACUGUAGUUACUGUGCCUGUUAUCCUUGGCAGCUUAGAGAUUCCUGCCUCUGCUCCUGUCCCUCCCACCCUUCUCUCAGGUCUUAUUGCUGCUCACCUGUUCAUCUGCCUGUGCUGCAGCUGCUUUGGCCUCUCACAGUUACCUGUGGGGCUGUGCUGAAAAGCUCUGAAGUCUGAGUAAGGAGAAAAAGAGAGAGCAGCUACUCCCUUGUCUGUAGAGAAUCCCGUCUCAGCCCUGUGCUGAGUCUCCCCUGCAACCUGCUUUGAGACCCCUCACCCCAACAACUGGCUGUUAAAGCAGUCAAAGCUCUCUAGUCCUAUUUACUGCUCCUGCCUUGCUAUUUCUUCUGAAAUUACACUUUUAACUUUCUUCAGGAUUAGUUUACUCUCUGAAUGGCAUCAGGUAGUAAGGUACUGUCUUUGGGGACUGCAUGGCUACAAGACUACUGAACCUUUUUUUUUUAAUGGAUAACCCAGUUGCCUACCCCAGCAGAGUUUCAUUGCUUUUACCUUUAUAGUACACUCAGAAAUGGAAGUGUGCACCUAAGAAAAGGUAUUGGCUAUGGAAGGAACCAUUUUCCUGUUACCUGUGGUAACAGCUAUGGUCUUUACACCUGAUGAUCUCCAGACCCCAAAAAAGCUGCUGAGAAGCACGAGCAAUGCUAAUCCCUUUGAGAAGGGAGCAUGCUGGAGUAUUUCUCUCCAUUACAUACACUGCAUAAAGUUCUAACAGCUAUUUAGUGUUCUACUGUGCUUGUAUAAACCCAUCUGCUCUGUGGGGAGAAAAGAGUGUAUGUUGGUGUUGUCUGACACUUGUGACAUGAUAGGAAGGCAUAGGGUUCCUUUGGAGCACAUGUAUUGUUGAUGGUGUACAUAUACAAUUUAGUAAAAUGUCUUUAUGCAGCAGCUUUGAGAAAUGUUCUGUGCUUUUAACUACCUUGAAUCUUCAUCUGGUUAAUGGACUUGUGUAUAGAAACCAUAUAAAAUAAUGAUGCAGCAGAAGGGCGCGUUUCUUUAAAGUUUAUGCUUUUGCCAAGGUAAACAUAUCUUAAUUACAGCUUUGUCACAAUAAUGAAGUGUUAUCAAAAAUUAAAUCUAAUUAAAUACUUUUGUGUUCUUUCUACUGAUUUCUCUUAUUCUUGACUCCAACACUUUCUCAUUUCCUUCAUGUGGUGCACUCUAACAUUUGGUCUUGGGAUCUGUUUUAAAAAGGGCCUGUUUACUGUCUCGGUUCAAAAUCCAUGGUGCUAGCUAUGUUGGAGUAGGGGUGUGGAGACCCAGUAUACGGGGAGAUAAUUAAAUUCUGGGAUGGUAGAACAGAUUUUGGUAGUACUGAAGAAGUGUGUAGUGUAAGUAGCCACAGAUCUUCAAGGCAGCUGUCUGUCCUGUGUGCAGUUAACACCUACUUGUUUAGCUCUUUACUUCAAAGGGGUACGUGAAAACCUGUUAUUGAAUAAUAACUGCUGAACUGUUAGUUGGCAGAUAGCCCAGAAAAGGCAUUAUUAAAAAGUAAACUUAAUAAAGAUGUCAAUAAUCAUGCUUUAGUGGCUUGG